rnacentral:rRNA from 1 species
UGCCCUAGUAACGGCGAGUGAAGCGGCAACAGCUCAAAUUUGAAAUCUGGCUCCCUCUUUGGGGGUCCGAGUUGUAAUUUGCAGAGGGUGCUUUGGCGUUGGUGGCGGUCUAAGUUCCUUGGAACCGGACAUCGCAGAGGGUGAGAAUCCCGUAUGUGGUCGCCUGCCUUCGCCGUGUAAAGCCCCUUCGACGAGUCGAGUUGUUUGGGAAUGCAGCUCUAAAUGGGAGGUAAAUUUCUUCUAAAGCUAAAUACUGGCCAGAGACCGAUAGCGCACAAGUAGAGUGAUCGAAAGAUGAAAAGCACUUUGGAAAGAGAGUCAAAAAGCACGUGAAAUUGUUGAAAGGGAAGCGCUUGUCGCCAGACUUGCCCGCAGUUGCUCACCUGGGCUCCGGCCCGGGGCACUCUUCUGCGGGCAGGCCAGCAUCAGUUCGGGCGGUUGGAUAAAGGCCUCUGUCACGUAUCUUCCUUCGGGAUGACCUUAUAGGGGAGGCGACAUGCAACCAGCCCGGGCUGAGGUCCGCGCUUCGGCUAGGAUGCUGGCGUAAUGGCUGUAAGCGGCCCGUCUUGAAACACGGACCAAGGAGUCUAACAUCUAUGCGAGUGUUUGGGUGUCAAGCCCGAGCGCGCAAUGAAAGUGAACGCAGGUGGGAACCUUCGGGUGCACCAUCGACCGAUCCUGAAGUCUUCGGAUGGAUUUGAGUAUGAGCAUAGCUGUUGGGACCCGAAAGAUGGUGAACUAUGCUUGAAUAGGGUGAAGCCAGAGGAAACUCUGGUGGAGGCUCGCAGCGGUUCUGACGUGCAAAUCGAUCGUCAAAUUUGGGCAUAGGGGCGAAAGACUAAUCGAACUAUC